AUACGUAGGGAGCAAGCGUUGUCCGGAAUUACUGGGCGUAAAGGGUGCGUAGGUGGCCAUGUAAGUCAGGUGUGAAAGACCGGGGCUCAACCCCGGGGUUGCACUUGAAACUGUGUGGCUUGAGUACAGGAGAGGGAAGUGGAAUUCCUAGUGUAGCGGUGAAAUGCGUAGAUAUUAGGAGUAACACCAGUGGCGAAGGCGCCUUUAUGGACAGUAGCGGACCCUGAGGCACGAAAGCGUGGGGAGGAAACAGAAUUAAAUACCCUGGUAGUCCACGCGGUAAACGAUGGAUACUAGGUGUGGGGGGCGAUAGUCCUCCGUGCCGAAGCUAACGCAUUAAGUAUCCCGCCUGGGGAGUACGAUCGCAAGGUUGAAACUCAAAUGAACUGACGGGG
rnacentral:rRNA from 1 species